rnacentral:tRNA from 1 species
GAGGGGGUGGUGCAGUGGUAACACACUCACCUACGAAGUGAGAGGGCUCAGGUUCAAACCCUGGGUGCACUCA